rnacentral:rRNA from 1 species
AUGUGGGUUAAGCCCGCGUACGGUGCUUCUUGUAGGUGAGAAGCAGGAAAAGUCUGGGAGACCAGGCUGCCGGAGGAGGGGUCCGCGGCCGAUUAGUUAGUUGGUGGGGUAAGAGCCUACCAAGGCGGCGAUCGGUAGCUGGUCUGAGAGGAUGAUCAGCCACACUGGGAUUGAGAACGGCCCAGACUCCUACGGGGGGCAGCAGUGAGGGAUCUUCCGCAAUGGGCGAAAGCCUGACGGAGCAACGCCGCGUGGAGGAUGACGGCCUUCGGGUUGUAAACUCCUUUUCUGUGGGGCGAGACCGGACGGUACCACAGGAAGAAGCCUCGGCUAACUACGUGCCAGCAGCCGCGGUAAUACGUAGGAGGCGAGCGUUGUCCGGAGUUACUGGGCGUAAAGGGUGCGCAGGCGGCCUCGCGCGUGUGUGGUGAAAUCUCCCGGCUCAACUGGGAGGGGGCCAUGCAGACGGCGG